AUGGCUAGUCACAAUUGCACUGUGCUCAAUUGGAAUGUGCGUGGCCUCAAUAAUCCGGCGCGCCGCCAAGUUGUGCGAGACUUGAUUUCCCAUCACCGUGCCUCGGUCAUUUCCCUCCAGGAAACUAAACUCCAGUUCAUCGAUCGCAGUAUUGUUUUGGAGACACUUGGCCCUGAUUUUGCUGAUUCUUUUUGCUAUCUACCUGCUGUUGGUACUCGAGGUGGAAUCCUCUUGGGGUUCUCCUCCCAUCUGUUUGACAUUCUAAACACAUCGGUCUCCACCAACACAAUCUCAGCAUCCGUGUCUAUGCGCGAGUCUGCCGCUUCCUGGAGCAUCACUGCUGUUUACGGACCUCAGUCUGACAGUGACAAAGCCGCUUUUAUUGAGGAAAUUAAGGGGAUUAAAUCUGCAAUGCUCCCAUCUUGGAUGCUGCUAGGGGACUUCAACCUGAUUUGCAAGGCCGAAGAUAAGAGCAACAGCUCCAUUAAUAGGAGACUUAUGAAUGCCUUCAAGUCGGCUCUGAACGCACUG
rnacentral:rRNA from 1 species